GACGAACGCUGGCGGCGUGCUUAACACAUGCAAGUCGAACGGAAAGGCCCUGCUUUUGUGGGGUGCUCGAGUGGCGAACGGGUGAGUAACACGUGAGUAACCUGCCCUUGACUUUGGGAUAACUUCAGGAAACUGGGGCUAAUACCGGAUAGGAGCUCCUGCUGCAUGGUGGGGGUUGGAAAGUUUCGGCGGUUGGGGAUGGACUCGCGGCUUAUCAGCUUGUUGGUGGGGUAGUGGCUUACCAAGGCUUUGACGGGUAGCCGGCCUGAGAGGGUGACCGACCACAUUGGGACUGAGAUACGGCCCAGACUCCUACGGGAGGCAGCAGUGGGGAAUAGUGCAAAAUGGGCGGAAGCCUGAUGCAGCAACGCCGCGUGCGGGAUGACGGCCUUCGGGUUGUAAACCGCGUUCGCCUGUGACGAAGCGUGAGUGACGGUAAUGGGUAAAGAAGCACCGGCUAACUACGUG
rnacentral:rRNA from 1 species